UCCAGCCACCCUUUAAAGAGUGCGUAAUAGCACUGGUCAAGUGAUUCCGCGCCGACAAUGUAGCGGGGCUCAAGCACACCACCGAAGCUGUGGCAUUGACACAUUGCCCGGCCGUGAUGUCUGAGGACUCACGGUCCAAGCGUGUUGAUGGGUGGGGGAGCGUCGUGUGGCCAGGGAAGCGGCGGAGUGAUCCAGCCGUGGAGGCCACACGAGUGAGAAUGCAGGCAUGAGUAGCGAAAGACGGGCGAGAAACCCGUCCGCCGAAUAACCAAGGGUUCCAGGGUCAAGCUAAUCUGCCCUGGGUAAGUCGGGACCUAAGGCGAGGCCGACAGGCGUAGUCGAUGGACAUCCGGUUGAUAUUCCGGAACCGGCGAAGAACCGCCCAUACCGAACCACGUAAUGCUAAGCGCCUGAAGUGUGGCACCGUCUUCGGAUGGUUCCUCAUGGAGCGCGCGACCCUAGCGAGUAGUAGGUAAGCAAUGGAGAGACGCAGGAAGGUAGCCGAACCGCGGCGAUGGUUGUUCCGCGGGUAAGGGUGUAGGGCGAGGUGUAGGCAAAUCCGCACCUCAUGUGCCUGAGACCUGACACGGACCCGUAAGGGGAAGUCGGUGAUCCUAUGCUGCCAAGAAAAUCUUCUAGCGAGGUUCUAGCCGCCCGUACCCCAAACCGACUCAGGUGGUUAGGUAGAGAAUACCAAGGCGAUCGAGUGAAUCGUGGUUAAGGAAUUCGGCAAAAUACCCCCGUAACUUCGGGAGAAGGGGGGCCCAGAGGGUGACGGGACUUGCUCCCCGAGCCUGAACGGCCGCAGAGACCAGGGAGAAGCGACUGUUUACUAAAAACACAGGUCCGUGCCAAGUCGCAAGACGAUGUAUACGGACUGACGCCUGCCCGGUGCUGGAACGUUAAGGGGACCGGUUAGCCUCACGGCGAAGCUGAGAACUUAAGCGCCAGUAAACGGCGGUGGUAACUAUAACCAUCCUAAGGUAGCGAAAUUCCUUGUCGGGUAAGUUCCGACCUGCACGAAUGGCGUAACGACUUCUCCACUGUCUCAACCACGAACUCGGCGAAAUUGCACUACGAGUAAAGGUGCUCGUUACGCGCAGAAGGACGGAAAGACCCCGGGACCUUUACUACAGCUUGGUACUGGUGUUCGGUACGGCUUGUGUAGGAUAGGUGGGAGACUGUGAAGCUGACACGCCAGUGUCGGUGGAGUCAACGUUGAAAUACCACUCUGGUCGUUCUGGAUAUCUAACCUAGGUCCGUAAUCCGAAUCAGGGACAGUGCCUGGUGGGUAGUUUAACUGGGGCGGUUGCCUCCUAAAAGGUAACGGAGGCGCCCAAAGGUUCCCUCAGCCUGGUUGGCAAUCAGGUUUCGAGUGUAAGAGCAU
rnacentral:rRNA from 1 species